rnacentral:lncRNA from 1 species
UUUAAAGGAAGUCAAACGAGGACAAAGAUAAAAAGGAAAUAACAAAUGUUCUUCACUUAUUCCGCAAAAUCACAAGCUCAGAAAUGAAGAAUAAGGGGAGAGGGAGAUUGGGAAAUCCUACUUCUCCUAUUUCUUUGCCUUUUUAUCGGCAGUUGUAAUAUUUUCCUACUAUUUUCCUGUGUCAAUGGAUUGACGUUAUUUUGCCAUUAUCGUAAUGGAACUAUAUAAUUCCUUUUCAGAUACAUAGACAAAAAGAUAAGCUGCAAAAUCCGUGCCUGUAUUAUUUAGCUUAAACAAGCAAAAUUUCCUUCACUCUAGAAAGAAGUAAAUCCAAGAUCUAUGAUAAAAUAAAAAAUAAAAAAAUUCAUAUGAAAGCAGAAAUUGGAGGCUCAGAUUCGCCUUUUAUCAUCAGAAGAGACAAAUGGCUAACCCGCCAUGGCUGCAGAAAUCAGUUUGAUUUAUGAGAGCCAUCUCAUAAAUAAUCUAAUUUCGCCACGCCAAGAUACAGGUUUGCUCGAAAUCUGAUCUUUUAAUUGAAAAAAUCAUCACAGCCUCAAAAUAAAGGGAAAAUUGCAGCAUUGGUCUCCAAUCCAAGUCACUGGGAAGAGAUCUGUAUUGAUCUUGAUGAACUGACAAGGGUUGUUGAGAUUUUGUUGUAAGAUCAUCGGCCGCUGGAUGCAUUUGAGGGGUAACAACCCUAGAAGACUCCCUUCCUCGCUGCAUAAACCAGUAGCCUCAUUCUUAAACUAAUGAGAUUUUGGAAAUUUCAAGGAAAUUGGUUUGUGAUUUAUAGUCGGUUUUAAG